UACGGGGGGAGCAAGCGUUGUUCGGAUUUACUGGGCGUAAAGGGCGCGUAGGCGGCCACCGCAAGUCAAUUGUGAAAUCUCCGGGCUUAACCCGGAAAGGUCAACUGAUACUGCGGGGCUAGAGUGCGGAAGGGGCAACUGGAAUUCUCGGUGUAGCGGUGAAAUGCGUAGAUAUCGAGAGGAACACCUGCGGCGAAGGCGGGUUGCUGGGCCGACACUGACGCUGAUGCGCGAAAGCUAGGGGAGCGAACAGG
rnacentral:rRNA from 1 species